rnacentral:rRNA from 1 species
CGGCGGACGGGUGAGUAACGCGUAGGAAUCUACCCAGUAGUGGGGGACAACAUGGUGAAAACCAUGCUAAUACCGCAUACGCCCUAUGGGGGAAAGCGGGGGACCUUCGGGCCUCGCGCUAUUGGAUGAGCCUGCGUCGGAUUAGCUUGUUGGUGAGGUAAAAGCUCACCAAGGCGACGAUCCGUAGCUGGUCUGAGAGGAUGAUCAGCCACACUGGAACUGAGACACGGUCCAG